UACGUAGGGUCCAAGCGUUAUCCGGAAUCACUGGGCGUAAAGCGUGCGUAGGUGGCGCGUUAAGUGAGAUGCGAAAUCCUGUGGCUCAACCAUAUGGACUGUAUCUCAUACUGGCGUGCUUGAGGAUGGCAGAGGCAAGUGGAAUUACGGGUGUAGCAGUGAAAUGCGUAGAGAUCCGUAGGAACACCAAUGGCGAAGGCAGCUUGCUGGGCCACCCCUGACACUGAGGCACGAAAGCGUGGGGAGCGAACAGG
rnacentral:rRNA from 1 species